rnacentral:rRNA from 1 species
GGCGUAGCAAUACGUCAGCGGCAGACGGGUGAGUAACGCGUGGGAACGUACCUUUUGGUUCGGAACAACACAGGGAAACUUGUGCUAAUACCGGAUAAGCCCUUACGGGGAAAGAUUUAUCGCCGAAAGAUCGGCCCGCGUCUGAUUAGCUAGUUGGUGAGGUAACGGCUCACCAAGGCGACGAUCAGUAGCUGGUCUGAGAGGAUGAUCAGCCACAUUGGGACUGAGACACGGCCCAAACUCCUACGGGAGGCAGCAGUGGGGAAUAUUGGACAAUGGGCGCAAGCCUGAUCCAGCCAUGCCGCGUGAGUGAUGAAGGCCCUAGGGUUGUAAAGCUCUUUUGUGCGGGAAGAUAAUGACGGUACCGCAAGAAUAAGCCCCGGCUAACUUCGUGCCAGCAGCCGCGGUAAUACGAAGGGGGCUAGCGUUGCUCGGAAUCACUGGGCGUAAAGGGUGCGUAGGCGGGUCUUUUAGUCAGGGGUGAAAUCCUGGAGCUCAACUCCCGAACUGCCUUUGACACUGAAGAUCUUGAGUUCGGGAGAGGUGGGUG